AAGAAAGACGGUAACGGUAGUGGUAGCGAUAGCGGUGGCGGGGCGAAGAGUAAGAGCAAAGGAGGGUAUCAGAAGAAAGGAGGGGGGAAGGAUAAAAAUGGAGGGAAGAAAGGUGGUGGAUUUCUAGGACUAGGUAAAAAGGGGCUGUUUGGUUUUGGUGGUAAAAAUGGUAGCAAGAAAGACAGUGGUGGUAAGAAGAACAAAGGGAGCAGCAAUGAUAAAAGUGUAGAGAGUGGUGGAGGAAAACAUAAUGGCAAUGGGGCCAAAAAAGGA
rnacentral:misc_RNA from 1 species